CUGAGACACAGUUCUGCAAGAACCAGCUUAUCCACGCUCUCCGAUCUCGUGUCUGUUUCUCUUUCUCUCUCCCUCUCUUGCGCUGUCCCUCAUUCAUUCACUCUUCCAUCUUUUUGCCAUUGUGCCAGCUCAAUUUAAAUGUAUCUGCUCUGUAUCUGUUCAAGUGGAGAUAAUCCAUGCAAAUCAGGAGCAGUGGCUUUCCAUGCUUGGUUCACAGAGAGGACUCGGCUUGAGGAGGUCACUCGUUCACAGCCGCUCCUCCCAUUAUAUUUUUCCCCUUAUUGCAGAACUGCUGUAUGUAUACAGUGACUGAAAGGACUCAAUUUACUGCAGCUGCUGCCUGGCUUUACUUACAACUUUUUUUUGUAAAGGAACUUACCUCCAUCUGUCUUUGCAAGGUCUCGGACAACUCACUCUAAGCCACACAACUAGUUCUGAAGAGUAUGGAGCCUACAUAGAGUCAUAAGAGCCCAAUGUUUCCCAAGGACAUUAACUUUGAUUUCUCUGAUGAAGGCUUGUGGCUGCCCCUCAUGCUUUGCAAAAUACUACCAAGUCAGAGCCGAAAAGAAAACCGAAAUGAACCCCAAGAAGGUGAAGCAGAUAGCUACAUAAAUAUGUUCUGGUGUCUUCAGGAAAGAAGGAACUUCAGAUGUGUUCAUGGAACCUCUGUCAAUUAUUUCUGAGGUAUCAUGGAGAAUGGGAAAGAAUCGAGAAAACCGAAGAUGAGUCUAUGCUGAUCUGAUUUUAUUAGAAAGGAAAGAAGGAUUCUGUGAACUGCAAACCAAUGAGUUCGACAUCAGUCUCUAGCAAAAUUUGGACAAAAGUAAAAGUGAGCAUUUUGAGAUGAUGUCAGUGACUAUUACGAACCAGUAUGGGUUUGGGGCACCUGAGUGGCUCAGUUGGUUGGGUGUCUGCCUUUGGCUCAGGUCAUGAUCUCAGAGUCCUGGAAUGGAGCCCCACAUCAGGCUCCCUGCUCAGCGGGCAGCCUGCUUCUCCCUCUCCCUCUGCCUGCUGCUCCCCUUGCUUGUGUUCUCUCUCUCUCUCUCUCUCUCUCUCUCUCUGUCAAAUAAAUAAAUAAAAUCUUAAAAACAAAACAAAACAAUCAGAUGGGUUCACUAAGAACAAAGUAGCUCCAGGUAAAGUAUAUUACUUUUACUCUUAGAAAAAGAAAAAACAGUGUAACUGAAUUUUGGCAAGUCUUUUAAUCAAAAUUCUCAUACGUUCCUAAAAGAUAAGUUAGACUAGUUUAUAGCAUAGUUAGAAAGUUUCCAAAAAUGGCAGAAUUACCUCUUUAAGAGUGAUGAAGAAUGAAUUUUGGAGUCACGGAAACUUGGCAUUUCAAAUUGAAGCCCUGCAAUUUAUCAGCUAUGUCAAUUUGUGCAAGUUGCAUAAACUUCCUGAACCUUAAUCUCCUCAACUGUAAUGAGGGAUUAAAACUAUCUGUCAUAAACAUGUUGUGCUUCUUAUACAAUACUGUGUACAUGAAGUGCUUUUUACCUAUCCUCACAUAAAUGCUCAAAAAAAAUAUAGGUGUCAUAUUUUAUUCUCAUGAGCUAAGGGUGAUUGAGUGUUGUCAAUCUGAA
ensembl:lncRNA